UCAUGGAUACUAGCUGGGUUUUUUCUGCUACGCCACAAUGAGAAGCCCCUAAUGGCCUUUUUUGAAGUCAGAAACAUAAAGGCUAAUGAACUCUGUCAAAUAUCCCUCAUGUGAAAAUAUUCUCCAGUCUUUCUUUUUUCUAACUCUGCUUCUCCCAUUUUUCUCCUCUCUGCUUCCCCCCACACACACACACACACACUUGCGCAUGCAUGCACGCACGUACGCACACAUCCUUUCUCAGCCUUGUCUCCUAAGAUCAGACACCGCACUCUGGAAUCAGAUAAAUCUGGUUCGGUCAUUAACCUAGACAUUUACUAGCUGAUUUUGACCUAAUUCUUGGAGGUAGGGAUGCCAAUUAACACUUACCUCCGGUGGUUAUUUUGAAAUUUCAAGAGCAUACUAUGAGUAACCGACAAAGCACAAUGACUGGCACAUAGAACUUGCUGUGAGCGCUACCAAUAGUAAUGAUAACGCAGAUGGUGGUGACGAUGACAGUGACAGGAGGAAAUACAGGGGUGAGGCUGGUGACUUCCACGCCUGGAUUUGCCCAACAGCUGCCUGUGAAUUUACUAUUUCAGCAGCAGAAACUAUCAAUAUCUGGCACUUGAGGUCCCAAACCCAUCUCUAACCCUAAUUAAAGGAAAAGUUCCAAGGCAAAUGAUGAGUGGCAACAUCAAUAACUCACAGUGGGAAGGACUGAGAUGUUACCCAAUGAAAGGAGUCCAAAAAAGCUUCAGGGCAGAUUUAGCCAAGGUGUAUUGGCUUUGGACUCUUGUUUAUGUUCUAAAGGAAUAUCAAUUGAUAGAUUAGUCAGAAACACUGACCACCCAUGGAAGGGAAUCCCAAAGGCAGUAAAGGAGGAUACCUGAAGUGCCCUGGGUUUAGGCACCUUUGAUACAAUUAUUUUCAGGGCUGGGUAUUCUCAAUUCACACAAAUGAUGGAGAUUACAAAUGUGACCGAUAUUAUCAAUUCUCAAAGAACACUGAGAGGGUGAGUCUGAUUUGGAGGCAUGAACAAGAGAGAUUACUGGUGUGAGGACAGGAAGGAGAGAAACCAGGAGGGACUCCUGUGGAAAGACUAAAUGAGCCAUUAAAAUGAUGUUUUUGAAAGAUUUAAUGGAGUGAAGCAAAGCUUAUAGUACAGUUUUAAGUGGAAAAAAAAAAAAGCAAGACUCAACAUUGACUAUACAGUAAAUAAUUUGAAAAAUGCAGAAUCUGGCUCAUUUCUUCAUGACUUCCUCAUCUUCCCCCCGACACCUACACCCAAGAUUAGAAGAAAAGGUGCCAUAAUUUUAAUGGUUAAUAUUUGAAUAAUGAGGGUUUAAGAUAAUGUUUUCCAUUCAUUAUCCUUUUCUAUUUUCCAAAAAUUCCACAACUAUAUGCAUAGAACACACAAAAAAAUCUGUUUCCUUAGUUUGUUAACUCCCCCACUUCACCUAACUGACUCCUACUUCACUCCCUGCUCACUGAGCUCUUACUUUAUCAGGGAAGACAUCCCCCAGCCCAACAACAAGGUUGGAGGGAUUAAGUCCAUACAGUCACACUCACCCCACUACUUAUUCUAUCCACAGCCAUUCAUUUCCUGUUUCUCUACUGGAUGGUGAGGUCUGAGCACAGGGACCCUGCAUGAUUAUUACCAUUGCACCCCAGUGUUUAUAAUACCUGGUCAUAGGAAGGAUGGAACAAACAAAAAAUAAAGGCAAACUUUUACCCCCAAAAAAAGAGAACAUGAGAAAGAGAUUACUUUUGUGAAUCAGAAAGGUCACCUAGGCCAAAUGGUGUCUCCGAGGCAGAAAGCAAGGGAACUCGGGCAGGGAAGAGAAUUGUGUGCCUGAAAAAGGCAUAGCCAGUUGAAGGCAGAGGAAGGUGGAGAAGGGCAAAUUGAGCUCAUCUGAUGACCUCUGAGGUUCAGUAAUAAAGUCUCCAGUUGCUAAAAGGGGAGGAGAAGACACCAGGGUAUGAAGGAGAGAAUUGGCAUGGCUGGGAAGAAAUAAGGAAGAGAGGUUUUACCUCUAGAUUAGACAACAUUAUAAGUGGCAGCACCUAGGGCAUUACUUUGUCUCUAAAGAGGAAGCAGAGGCUCUUGGUUUUAUGGAGUCCUAAAAAUGCUGUGUCAUCCUCCUGCUCUCACCUUUCCAGAAGACCUGGCAGCAGCUCCCGCACGCCUCACCCAAGACUUCCCAUUCCCUCUCAGAAAAACAGAUGCUACCUGUGUUUGACCCUAAUCACCCGGUUGAUCUUUCUUCCUUGAAAGACUGGCAUAAUCUAAACUCUCCAAAUUGAAAUCAAAGAAUAGUCAGCGAUAAGCACGGGGCAGUUACAGCUGUGGUUCAUGGGAAGCAAACCAGGUUCCCCUUGCCUUGAAAUGUAAACGUUUGACAUGUCAUCUUCUCCAGCGUCGUCUUGGUCAAUGCAAUUGACCACUGCUGUCAUUGUCUUUAGAGGUUUUGACUAUCUGAUUUAAACAUUUAUUGAGCGUCCUCUUCCCCACCCAGAGAUCAGCAAAUGAUUCUGACAGAAUAGUUCUAAGGCAAAAUAAGUAUAAAAGAAGGGCAAUUUGGCGGCAUCCAUACAUAUGUAAAAUACACAUCCUCUUUGACAUGCGAAUUCAUCUAGGAAUUUAUUCUACAGAUAGGCUUAUACAUUUACUCAGAGACAGGUGGAUUUGAAAUGCUCAGUGCAGCAUUUUUGUGUAAUCUCAAAAAUUGAGAACAACCUAAAUAUUUAUCAAAAGGGAGUACCUAUUUAUACAAUAGAAUCCCCUAAAGCUGCAUUUCUCAACCUAGGGCGAUUUUGCAAUCCAGGGAACACUUGGCAAUUUCUGGAGAGGUUUUUGGUUUUCAUUACUAGGGAGAAACUACUGCCACUAGUGGGUAGAGGCCAGAGAUGAUGCUAGACACCCUACUCUGCACAUGACCACCCUCCAAAACAAAGAAUUAUCUGGCCCAAAACUUCCAUAGUGCCAAAACUGAGGAAGCCUGGCUUUGCAAGUACUAAAGAGAAUGAGCUUGUCUGCAUGGGCUGAGAAGGAUCCCUCUUGAAGACCCAUUAUUUGGAGAAGCAAGGCACUGUCUAUUUUCAUUUGGGUAACUCAAGAGCAUAAAGGCACACCUGCAACACAUGCACACAUGUACAUACCCCCAGGGUAUGCAUGUAUACUAGUAUGUUAUACAUGCAUCUAUGCUUCUGUAUUUGAGAAGUAUUCCUGGGAAAAUAAACUUCAAUAUUUCCUCACAAUAGUUACUUCUGGAGAGAGGUCUGAGAACCUGGAGAUCUGUGGUAGGGGUUAAACAUUGCACUUUACGUAUUUUUGUAUCAUUUGAAAUUUUCAACACAUGAAUUUGUUUUCAGUUGAAUUUUAGACUUUGUGGUAAUUGUUGUCAAGUACAGUGGGUAAAGGUAAAAUGGGACAGUGACUGGUAUGUCUUCUUUUCUGCUUCUCUCCUUUCCCUCCAAAAAGGCAUCCUCCCACUCAACAUAUCAGAACUCUUAGCACGGCAAAAAGCUCAGGCAAAACUCGGCUAUCUGUAAUUUUUACUUUAACAAAAAUUUAAUUAAAGUGUAAACUCUGUUAGGAAGACUUACAUUUUCAAUCCCAUUUUUUCACAUUCUACUAUGAAAUAAAAGUUUGUUUCAUGUGUAGUGGGAUUUUCAGUAUAGCGUAUGUUCUGAAGACGGGAAGACGGUUUCAGAGCUGCUGAAAUGAUGCCAGCGAUGGAAGCAUCUUUUGCCUAAAUCUUUGAGCAGUUUUCUUUGGGGAAUGUGUCACUUUUCUUGUAUGCUCAUGAAUUUGCAAAACUUUAAUUCAGUGAUGUCUACAACAAGCUCCAAGGAAGCAUAGAGUUUUGGGGGGUUCACUUUUGUUUCCAAAAGUUUUCAAUUAACUCUAAAAUUAAAACCUCUGUCUCUAAUUUCAAGACAAAAUCAUGACAUUUUGUAGUUAACUGAUGGUUAUUCCAUAUGACAAGAAACACUAAAAAUGUUAAGUCCUGUUGUAAUUGAAAAAAAAAAAAAAACC